rnacentral:rRNA from 1 species
UACAGAGACUGCAAGCGUUAUCCGGAAUGAUUGGGCGUAAAGCGUCCGCAGGUGGCUGUGUAAGUCUGCUGUUAAAGAGUCUAGCUCAACUAGAUAAAAGCAGUGGAAACUACACGGCUAGAGUACGUUCGGGGCAGAGGGAAUUCCUGGUGUAGCGGUGAAAUGCGUAGAGAUCAGGAAGAACACCAGUGGCGAAGGCGCUCUGCUAGGCCGUAACUGACACUGAGGGACGAAAGCUAGGGGAGCGAAUGGG